rfam:Betaproteobacteria bacterium RIFCSPLOWO2_12_FTLL_68_20 rifcsplowo2_12_scaffold_28832, whole genome shotgun sequence.
AGGCGCGUAGCUCAGCUGGUUAGAGCACUACCUUGACAUGGUAGGGGUCGUUGGUUCGAGUCCAAUCGCGCCUA